AAGCAUGAAAACUGUAUUAGUUUUGCAAAAGCUGAUGAGGAGUAUGAUUCCCAUGCUUU
rnacentral:tRNA from 1 species